AGCGACGCCGCGUGAGGGAUGACGGCCUUCGGGUUGUAAACCUCUUUCAGUAGGGAAGAAGCGUAAGUGACGGUACCUGCAGAAGAAGCGCCGGCUAACUACGUGCCAGCAGCCGCGGUAAUACGUAGGGCGCAAGCGUUAUCCGGAAUUAUUGGGCGUAAAGAGCUCGUAGGCGGUUUGUCGCGUCUGCCGUGAAAGUCCGGGGCUCAACUCCGGAUCUGCGGUGGGUACGGGCAGACUAGAGUGAUGUAGGGGAGACUGGAAUUCCUGGUGUAGCGGUGAAAUGCGCAGAUAUCAGGAGGAACACCGAUGGCGAAGGCAGGUCUCUGGGCAUUAACUGACGCUGAGGAGCGAAAGCAUGGGGAGCGAACAGGAUUAGAUACCCUGGUAGUCCAUGCCGUAAACGUUGGGCACUAGGUGUGGGGGACAUUCCACGUUUUCCGCGCCGUAGCUAACGCAUUAAGUGCCCCGCCUGGGGAGUACGGCCGCAAGGCUAAAACUCAAAGGAAUUGACGGCGGGCGGGGGCGGCGGG
rnacentral:rRNA from 1 species